GACGAAGGUCCCAAGCGUUAUCCGGAUUUAUUGGGUUUAAAGGGUGCGUAGGCGGACUAUUAAGUCAGUGGUGAAAUAUGGCAGCUCAACUGUCAGGGUGCCAUUGAUACUGCAGAGCUUGAGUACAGAUGAGGUAGGCGGAAUUGACGGUGUAGCGGUGAAAUGCUUAGAUAUCGUCAAGAACACCGAUAGCGAAGGCAGCUUACUGGGCUGUAACUGACGCUGAGGCACGAAAGUGUGGGGAUCAAACAGG
rnacentral:rRNA from 1 species